GCCCAGUGGGUUAAGGAUCCGGCGUUGCCAUGAGCUGCGGUGUAGGUCACAGAUGCAGCUCGGGUCCCGCAUUGCUGUAGCUGUGGCGGAGGCCGGCGGCUGUAGCUCCGAUGAGACCCCUAGCCUGGGAACGUCCACAUGCCUUGGAUGUGGCCCUAAAAAGACAAAAAGACCAAAGUAAAUAAAUAAAUAAAUAAAUAACAGUAAAAAAAGGAUACAAUGAACGUUUUUGCACAGCAGAUUCUGAUUCACAGAUAUUGAAAAACUUACAGUUUGCAAAGGAAACAGGUUGGGGUGGGGGGGCUGGGGUGGGGUUUCGGGUUGGAAAUGCUGUAAAAUUGGGUUGUGAUGAUCAUUGUACAACUAGAGAUUAAUCAAACUCAUUGAGUUUAAAAAAAAAUACUGAAUCAAUGGUUGCCCAGCUUUGGAGGUUUACUAAAUUCCAUUGAAUUGUAUGCUUUAAACAGGNUAUGGGACUUUGCGGAAGCAAACACAGGAGUCCCUGCUGUGGCGCAACGGGGUCGGUGGCGUCUCUAGCGCGCAGGGCCGCAGGUCCGAUACCCGGCCCGGCAGAGUGGGUCCGGGAUCUGAUGUGCCGCGGGGGCGGCCAAAAAACAAGCAACCCUCCCCCCCAAAAAAAACAAACACAAACCUGGGAAAGCGAAGGUGAAGGGCCGCCCGCCCGCCGUCCCUCGUCGCGGCCCCACCCGCGCAGGUCCUCCUGCCCCGGGUCCUCCCUGACGACCUGACAGGCUUCGGGGAAGUAUACACGUGUAGGGAAGCGGAGUGACCCAUGUCUUUCAGGCUAUCUUAUUUCAUUCUGGACCAAAGCAGGAAACUGAGGAAGGAUGGGCCGCGUUGCCCUGGACUCAGGAAAAUAUAGGUCUAAUUAAGAUCCGUCUAUUUCAGGUGAGGAGCCGGAGAGACACAUCUAUUCAAUCCCCAAGGCUAAGGAAAGGCUGAUGGACAGGCCCUCCCCAGAGCCCGAGAGGCCUCCAGACACUGAGCCUUUGGAGAGCCCACAGCAGGAGAAAGAGGCAGCUGAGCAGGAAUGGCCUGUGUCUGAAGUCCAAGGUCUGCCUUCAUCCAGAGGGUGGGACGCCUGUGGCCCCACGGUCACCCCUCCUGCAUCCCACAGGCUGGAACACAGCGGGAAGGCCGCUCCAUGGAGCACAGCCCUGGGUGAGAAGGGGUGUGGGCGCUCUCUGCCUGGGCCAGGGUCACGGAGGAAAGGACGUUGCUGGGAAAAGAGUGAUGCCGGUGGAUAGAGUUAUUCUCUCUUUUUUUUUUUUUCUCUUUGCUAUUUCUUGGGCCGCCCUGCGGCAUGUGGAGGUUUCCCAGGCUAGGGGUCGAAUCGGAGCCAUAGCCACCGGCCUCCACCACAGCCACAGCAACACGGGAUCCGAGCCGCGUCUGCAACCUGCACCACAGCUCACGGCAACGCCAGAUCCUUAACCCACUGAGCAAGGGCAGGGAUGGAACCCGCAACCUCAUGGUUCCUAGUCGGAUUCGUUAACCACUGCGCCACGACGGGAACUCCGAGUUAUUCUCUUGAAGGGUCCCGUGUGGCCGGGCCUUUGUGUGGAGUCAUGGGUUGAAGCCACGGCAGCAGCCAAAUAACAUGAACCUUUUUGAAGUUUUAUCCUGUGUGUUGUGGAAAUGAAAU
ensembl:lncRNA